rnacentral:rRNA from 1 species
GAUGAACGCUAGCUACAGGCUUAACACAUGCAAGUCGAGGGGAAACGACAUCGAAAGCUUGCUUUUGAUGGGCGUCGACCGGCGCACGGGUGAGUAACGCGUAUCCAACCUGCCCAUCACUUGGGAAUAACCUUGCGAAAGUAAGACUAAUACCCAAUGACAUCCCCCGAAGACAUCUGAAUGGGAUUAAAGAUUUAUCGGUGACGGAUGGGGAUGCGUCUGAUUAGCUUGUUGGCGGGGUAACGGCCCACCAAGGCAACGAUCAGUAGGGGUUCUGAGAGGAAGGUCCCCCACAUUGGAACUGAGACACGGUCCAAACUCCUACGGGAGGCAGCAGUGAGGAAUAUUGGUCAAUGGGCGAGAGCCUGAACCAGCCAAGUAGCGUGCAGGAUGACGGCCCUAUGGGUUGUAAACUGCUUUUAUAAGGGAAUAAAGUGGGUCUCGUGAGACUUUUUGCAUGUACCUUAUGAAUAAGGACCGGCUAAUUCCGUG